GUCCCGGUAGCUCAGCUGGUAGAGCACCUGUACGUGCGGAGCGAAAGUGCCUAGUAAUAACUGCCAGGAGGUCGCAGGACCGAAACCUACUCGGGAUU